rnacentral:rRNA from 1 species
GAUGAACGCUGGCGGCGUGCCUAAUACAUGCAAGUCGAACGCGAGCACUUGUGCUCGAGUGGCGAACGGGUGAGUAAUACAUAAGUAACCUGCCCUAGACAGGGGGAUAACUAUUGGAAACGAUAGCUAAGACCGCAUAGGUACGGACACUGCAUGGUGACCGUAUUAAAAGUGCCUCAAAGCACUGGUAGAGGAUGGACUUAUGGCGCAUUAGCUGGUUGGCGGGGUAACGGCCCACCAAGGCAUCGAUGGGUAGGGGUUCUGAGAGGAAGGUCCCCCACAUUGGAACUGAGACACGGUCCAA